AUUUUGAAUCUGAGACUCACUUAAGACCCAAAUCUCGAGCGCUCUCUCUCUCUCUCUCUCUCUCAGAGCGAUUUCGAAGCUCCACCGCUUGUUCAUUCUCAGAGCGAGGUAGCGAGCACCAACAAAGGUGAGCUCCAUUGUCUCUCUUUCUCUCUCUCUCAACCCACUCUAAGCCCUCACCAGAGCGAUUCAGAGAUUCAUCUCAGUGAUUUCAUCGCAGAGAUUCAGAGAUUCAGAGGGAUUUCAUCUCGGUGAUUUCAUCGCAGAGAUUCAGAUCCGUCUCCACCAUCGUCUGCUAAGUGCUACCAUCGUUGCCGCCGCCACCGGAGUAUCCAGAUUUGUAUGGAAGGCGGAGGGAGCUUGCUAAGGUUCAGAUAUUUGAGAGAGAGAGAUUACUUUUCUUGAGGUCACCUAUCAAACUGAAUUUUUUCUGGACAAAAACAAAGAUUAUGUUAUUACUGAACAUCAAGCACUCUUGAGUGCUUCCAAAUGUUCCUUUGUGUUGGGUUUGUUUCCACUUUCAUCUGAGGAGUCCUCUAACAAUCAAAGUUCUCUUCAAUAGGUUCACGGUUCAAGCAACAAUUGCAACAAUUGCUUGAAACUCUUGAGUUCGACUGAGCCUCGUUAUAUUUGCUGUGUGAAGCCCAAUAAUCUUCUUAAGCCAGCUAUUUUUGAGAAUAGUAAUGUUCUACAACAACUGCAUUGUGGGUCAGUAAGGGUAACUUUUACAUGGUGUUGGAAACGAAGUUGGCUGCCUUCUUUUUUCGUCCCCCUCAUAACUCUUGCUGAUAAUGCUCGAGUUAGGGAAAGACUGGAGGAUAUUGAAAGGGACGAACGUGAAUAUGCAUUGGACGAUGAGGACAAGAAGGUUCAAGACGUAAUUCUUAAACCAGACCCUUCAAAAAAUGACACUAUGUGGUUGAAGAAAACUCUUUCUUGUUCCUACCCAAACUUGCCUUUUAAUGAGGCACUUCAAAAAGAAAAUGAAAAGCUUCAGUUAGAACUACAACGUUCACAAGCCAAUUUGGAUGUGGGUGAGUGUGAAGUAAUUCAACACCUGCUUGAUGUCACAGACGCUGUUGCCGUAAAUUCUGUAUCUGAGAAGAGUUCACCCCUGAGAAUUUCCAAAAAGGUGGAGCAAAAUUAUUUGGAUUUUAAUAGUGAAAAGGAGCAUUCAUAUGAUGAAAGCUACACUAAGCAAAGUGAGACUCACUCAACUUCAAGAAACACUUCCUCAGUAUCAUCCGGACGUGAUCUGCUGUCUACUAGAGGUUCAAAUUGGGAUGAUGAAUGGCAUUCAAAUUUGCUCGGCUGUUGUUUUGAACUUAUUUUGUGACAACUUGCUCGGGAAGUUUACAAGAACAUUAGGAGAUAAGCUUCUUGUCUGAGAAUUCAGAGAGAUUUUCGCAUGCAUCCUGCUAGGAAAGCUUAUAAAGAAUUGUGCUCUUUUGCUGUUUCUAUUCAGGCUGGCAUGCGUGGAAUAGUUGCACGUGAUGAGCUUUGCUUCAGAAGGCAGAUUGCUUUUUAUGGAAAGCUUUCAUUGCUGUAUUCUCUUAGACUACUUGACUACAUGAAUUGUGCAUUUGGAUGUAUUAGUAGGAACUCCAACAAUUUCUUUUACUCUAGCUUCUGUUCAACUAAGUUCUUUAAAAUAACCAUAUUAUAACCUUUUAUAAUAAUGUUUUUCUUUUGGAGAGCA